UGGCGCUAGCUGACAGAAUGAAAUAAAGGUCAAGGAGAAGGGUGCGCCCAAAUUACGCCGACGUGGCUAUAAUCCUCAUCAGCUGACCUAAACCGACGAAUGAAAAUCCAGCAAAUACACUCAAUGCCCCACUUUGUCCAAGAUCUGAUCCUCCUCUUCAGCUCAAUUCAUUGACCUUCCAACAUCAAUGCAGCGUCGUGUGCGUUUUUUUGUACCAGGUUAGUCGUUUUUAAUUUCAUUCAUCGAUAUAUUAUUACAUUUGGCAAUCUUUCGUCUCUAGUAGACCUUUCCGUCGAUUUCCGUAAAAAUUUCUUUUUCCUUUUUACAUAUGGGCUUGCGGGAACUUUUGAAGUAAUGAGAGCGAAAGAGACUAAGAGAAAGCGAUUUUAUGACGAGGGAAGUUCUUUUGAAGUUACCGUGCAUGGACUCUCUCUGUCUCUUCACAAACACUAACAGAAGCACUUCACUUACACAACAUACUAUCUGUCUCCCACCCACCCAUCAAACACACACACACAUGUACAUCAAUGCUUCCCAUGCACGGUAACUUCAAAAGAACUUCCCUCGUCAUAAAAUCGCUUUCUCUUAGUCUCUUUCGCUCUCAUUACUUCAAAAGUUCCCGCAAGCCCAUAUGUAAAAAAAAAAUAAAAUUUUUUUACGGAAAUCGACGGAAAUGUCUACUAGAGACGAAAGAUCGCCAAAACGUUUUUGAAAGCAAUAUAACGAGGCCUCUACGUUUCUGCUCAACUUUCAGAAGUUCUUAAAUAGCCUUAUCAUUCUACUUCCGGCUUUGGAAAUGAAUUUGGUUAAUAUCUAGAUCCGCACCCGGUGGGGAAAAUGUGUAACAGUUGUAAGGCAUCGUAUAUUGACGGAAUAAGACGGGAAAAAAGCGCGCUGACAAACGGGGGGGGGGGGGGGGGGCUCGGGAAAUUCCCAGGAUCAACCGUAGAGGCAAAAAUGGAAAAAAAUAUGUGUAACAGGUGUAAGGCAUCGUAUAUUGAAGGAAUAUGACGAAAAAAAGCGCGCUGACAAACGGGGGGGGAAGGGGCUCGGAAAAUUGCCUACGAUUUAAAGAAAAAUUUACCAUCAAUUUUCACCAUUGUGUUUCUGAUUCGCGACCCCAUGUCGAAUUUAUCGAUUUUUUUCAGAACUGGGGGAACUUUUCAAAAUUUUCGCUGCGUUAGUUUUGAAUUAUGACAUUGGGCUAUGUGUGUGAGAUGCGUUUAAAAUGGUGAAAAUUGAUGGUAAAUUUUUCUUUAAAUCGUAGGCAAUUUUCCGAGCCCCCCCCCCGUUUGUCAGCGCGCUUUUUUUUCGUCAUAUUCCUUCAAUAUACGAUGCCUUACACCUGUUACACAUAUUUUUUUCCAUUUUUGCCACCUGGGCGUGGAUCCUCUACGGUUGAUCCUGGGAAUUUCCCGAGCCCCCCCCCCCGUUUGUCAGCGCGCUUUUUUCCCGUCUUAUUCCGUCAAUAUACGAUGCCUUACAACUGUUACACAUUUUCGUUUCCAUUUUUCCCACCGGGUGCGGAUCUAGAUAUUAACCAUGAAUUUUAUCUAUUAAAAGGGAGACGGAGAUCGGAUCUUUUUCUGUUUGAACGAUAGUUUUUUCUAGCGAUGUCAUAUGAAGUUGUCACCCAUAAUUAUGACCCUAGUAUCGAUCUAUUGCAUUUCAAUCUGAAUGUUUUUUUUUACCUCAAUAGACGUCAGUGAUUGGUUGAAAUUGCAGAAAUUGAAGGAAAAAAAACUACAACAAAUAUCUUACAAACUAUAGAAUUUUCUCAAUAAAGCCAAGAGAAAAAGAUGUUUUAUAAACACAUUCUACCAGUAUACGAAGUUUAAAAGUGUUUAGUUACGUGGAAAUUAUUUUAAAAAACUGCCGUUCAAACCGAAAAGAUCCAAAUGGCCUUCUCAUUUUACUUCCAGGUUUGAAAAUGGACUUCAUUUUGUAAAUUGGGACGUAGAUCUUUCGGUUUAAGAAUAUCUUUAUAUAUAAAAGUGAAGUUGUGUGUCUGUCUCCUACGAUUUAGAUUCCUAACUACUUCCACAUUUUGCGGUGCAGUUUAACCAAAACCAGGUAUCUUAUAGUCGUGAUUCAUAUCGAGCCCUUCUGGGUAUUAGCGCACGUCUACGAUGAGUCUACGAUUUUAAAAAUAAUUUACCAUCAUUUUUUUCCAUUUUAAUGCAUUUUUUCGCUAUUAUAUAAGGGAAGUAACUCUCUGCAAAUGUCUACGAUGAGUCAACGAUUUAAAAAAAAAUUUACCAUCAUUUUUUUUCCAUUUUACGAUGAGUCAGCGAUUUAAAAAAGAAUUUACCAUAAUUUUUUUCCAUUUUAAUGCAUUUUUUCGCUAUUAUAUAAGGGAAGUAACUCUCUGCAAAUGUCUACGAUGAGUCAACGAUUUAAAAAAAAAUUUACCAUCAUUUUUUUUCCAUUUUAAUGCAUUUUUUCGCUAUCAUAUAAGGGAAGUAACUCUCUAAAAAUGUCUACAAUGAGUCAGCAAUUU
rnacentral:lncRNA from 1 species